GGGGGCGGAGCAGGCGUGAUCCACUGAGCCACAAAGGAAAAUAGAGAGGAGAAUAAGAUAGUAAUGAGAGCUCUGCUAUAAAAUCUGGACCGCAACAUGUGGGGCACAUGCAGGAAUGAAAGAAAAGCAAAGAACUGAAGAGAAAACAAAGGAUAUCAACUGUGCUGAGAGCUAAAAGAAGGGAGGCUUUGCCGAAAGAUCGUUGUGUGCUUGCGGACAUAAGACAUAACAGAUCUUAUCUUUGUGCGUAGAGCGAUGAGCACAAAACAUCUGGAUCCCAGCGGGGCCCAAACAUCUGCUAGGAGCCGGCUGGGAGGUGGACGAGGAAGAGGAGCAGGAAGGAUGGGGUGCGCAUCAGGGACGUGAUCCAGACGGGUCUACACAUCCAUAUUUCAUCAUCUAACUGUCCUCACCUCUCCUGUUUUAAUGUAACCUUUCUGUGAUGUUUUUGUUUUUUUCAAUUGUGUCUUGAUGUAAAGUGUUUUUCAAAAACUAAAACUGCUAUACAAAUAAAAAUGUAUAACAAUUUUUAUUAUCAUUAUUUUUUUUAUCAUUAUUAUUAUUAUUAUGUUGUAGGGGUCAGUGGAAAACAGGGCAGUGAGUUUGAGUGUGCAUCAUUGAAAUGUAAAAUGGAUUUACUAGUUUUUGGAAUAAAAAAUGUG
ensembl:lncRNA